UACGUAGGUGGCGAGCGUUGUCCGGAUUUACUGGGCGUAAAGGGAGCGUAGGCGGACUUUUAAGUGAGAUGUGAAAUACCCGGGCUCAACUUGGGUGCUGCAUUUCAAACUGGAAGUCUAGAGUGCAGGAGAGGGGAAUGGAAUUCCUAGUGUAGCGGUGAAAUGCGUAGAGAUAUGGAGGAACACCAGUGGCGAAGGCGGCUUCCUGGUCUGUAACUGACACUGAGGCGCGAAAGCGUGGGGAGCAAACAGGAUUAGAUACCUCCGUA
rnacentral:rRNA from 1 species